rnacentral:misc_RNA from 1 species
AACGCACAUUGCGCCCUCCGGUAGCCCGGGGGGCAUGCCUGUCCGAGCGUCAUUUCACGCCAUCAAGCCCAGCUUGGCAUUGGAGAGCGCGCCCCCGUUCCGGCGGCGGGCGGCCCCUAAAUCCGUCGGCGGCCGCGUGGAGCCCCAAGCGUAGUAGAAUUUCAACCCGCUUCGGAGGAGCCUCGGCGAGCCUCGCCACUAACGACACCAACAACCUCUAGGUUGACCUCGGAUCAGGUAGGGAUACCCGCUGAACUUAA